rnacentral:pre_miRNA from 1 species
AGGGCAAUCUGUCCUUAAGUAGGGAUAAAAAAAUAAAUCCUAGAUAGUUUUCCCUUCAAGUCAAGCAUCUUG